GCGACUGGAAGUACGGAUCCGGCUGCGGAAGUGAUUGUGCAUGUGUACAAGCUAACUCAGCAUCUUGUAACAAUGUGAACGGUGCAUGUACAUGUAGUGCAGGUUACAUUGGGACGAACUGUGAAAAUGCAUGUAGCGCCUGGAAGUAUGGUGAUGGUUGUAGCAGUGACUGUACAUGCGUACAGGCUAACACCGCCAGCUGUAUUAAUGAAAACGGGCAAUGUUUGUGUAACCCUGGAUACUCCGGAAUUACUUGUGACACCGCGUGCAGUGAGUGGAAAUAUGGAUCUGGUUGUGUCAGUGAUUGCACGUGUAUUCAGGCCAACACGGCGACCUGUAGUAGUAUCGACGGAGAGUGUGCAUGCAACUCUGGUUAUUUUGGGACAAACUGUG